AUUGAACGCUGGCGGCAUGCCUUACACAUGCAAGUCGAACGGCAGCACGGACUUCGGUCUGGUGGCGAGUGGCGAACGGGUGAGUAAUGUAUCGGAACGUACCUUUCAGUGGGGAUAACGUAGCGAAAGUUACGCUAAUACCGCAUAUUCUGUGAGCAGGAAAGCAGGGGAUCGCAAGACCUUGCGCUGAUUGAGCGGCCGGUAUCAGAUUAGCUAGUUGGUGAGGUAAAGGCUCACCAAGGCGACGAUCUGUAGCGGGUCUGAGAGGAUGAUCCGCCACACUGGAACUGAGACACGGUCCAGACUCCUACGGGAGGCAGCAGUGGGGAAUUUU
rnacentral:rRNA from 1 species